GGUCGCUUAGCUCAGUUGGUUAGAGCGUGGUAUGUCAUUACCAGAACAAAAGAGUCAUUACAUCAAUUGCUAACAAUUGACAGGUGCUAAUAACGCCAAGGUCGCGAGUUCGACCCUCGUAGUGAUCA
rnacentral:tRNA from 1 species